rnacentral:snoRNA from 1 species
GAGCUGUGAUGGUUUGUCUCGUUCGGUGUAUUGGCGAAUAACCAACAAAGCCAUGCCGACAAUCCUUACAUAUCACCACUCACAAUCUGAGCUC